UGGGGAAUAUUGGACAAUGGGCGAAAGCCUGAUCCAGCAAUGCCGCGUGAGUGAUGAAGGCCUUAGGGUUGUAAAGCUCUUUUACCCGGGAUGAUAAUGACAGUACCGGGAGAAUAAGCUCCGGCUAACUCCGUGCCAGCAGCCGCGGUAAUACGGAGGGAGCUAGCGUUGUUCGGAAAUACUGGGCGUAAAGCGCACGUAGGCGGCUUUUCAAGUCAGGGGUGAAAUCCCGGGGCUCAACUCCGGAACUGCCCUUGAAACUGAAUCGCUUGAAUCCUGGAGAGGUCAGUGGAAUUCCGAGUGUAGAGGUGAAAUUCGUAGAUAUUCGGAAGAACACCAGUGGCGAAGGCGACUGACUGGACAGGUAUUGACGCUGAGGUGCGAAAGCGUGGGGAGCAAACAGGAUUAGAUACCCCCGUAGUCC
rnacentral:rRNA from 1 species